ensembl:lncRNA
CAGCUGUUCAUGAUUAAAAAAUCAAUCUUUGCACAUGCUGCUGGAAAAAAAAAUCAGAAAUUCCAAUUCAUUUUUUUUUUCUCAUAUGUAAGCAUCUUUAAUCUGAGUACAGCAAACUCUAUGGGAAUUCUUUCAGAAGAAGAUGAACUCCAUGUUCAGACAGAGAAACUUAGCACCCAGCACUCAGGUCUCAUAUCAACCAAAGAAAACUGCAUGAGUGGAUAUAAAAAAUAAUGUGACUCUCCCCUCCAACAGGACAAAAGCAGAUCUUGGGUUUCCUGCAGACAUGGUCCUCCUGCUGUCAGCCUGUACAUCUGCAUGGUCAGUCACAGCAUGAUAGAGCAAGCCUGAAGGACAUGUGGAACAAAGUGCCUGAGGGCACACAAGGUGUAGUCAGCCCUUAGUCCCUGCAGGGUAGCAAGGCAGUCAGCCAUCUGUCCUGAGGGGCAGCAGGCUGGUGGCUGCCACCAUAUCGCUUGGAGCAUCUUUUGUGACCACUCAUCAGCUGCUGCAGAGCCAGAGCCGUAAAGUCACUGUCAGUUUGUACUUCUUUCCCCUCAUGAGGACAUUCACAGUGGUCGAGGCUGGAGUAAAUAUAUGAGUGGGGCACACAGAAGGCCACAUCAUCUGCCAGACCCAUGUCCAGGGCCCUCCUCAUGAUGCAAAAAAGGGAGAAAAGGUACAGUUGUGGAUUAAUUACAACUGUUUUUCCCAGCUGAUACAGCACUGGACUUAUUCACAGGAAAAAAAAAUUGUUUUGUCUCAAAUAAAAUAUAAUCAAUUGUGAUUAUAGUACUAUCCUGAAUGGUAAGGAUGGGGUAGGGAGUAAGAUAUCAAAGGUAAUGUUUAGCUGCAGUCUUGUGAUCGCUAGCAGGCAAGUUGUUUCAAUCUGAAAGAACCAAAGAAACCUUUUUUCCUACAUGUUUUUUAACGUUGUGAGUCUAUUAGAAAAAGCACCACCUGAGAUUUUUAAUGCUUUCAUUGUGUCUGUUGACCUUUCCACAAAUCAUGAAAAUUCUGAUUCACAUACAGUAAAUUUCCAUGUAUUUUCUCCAAGCUUCCAGGUCUGCAGAAAAUUUAAUAAACUGCUUUGUGUGUGUUUAUACUUUAAAAUAUGUUCAAGGAAAAAUGACAUCCAUGUAAUUUAGGUACAUAACAACUUCUUCACUGCAUUGACCCUGAAGAUCAAAGAGCUACUGAAGGCAGUUGGAGCUACUGCAUUCUGAUUCAGCUUGAGAUUUACAGUACCGUGCAGAUCAUGUUUUACUUUACCCGAUCCAAUUCACCUACUAUCUCAGAGUAAGAUAUAAUUUCAGUAAGACAGCACUGUGUCCUUACAGAUCAAAACCAGCCAGAAGCAAACCAGAGAACUGGCAAACAGAAAGUACAGAAAAGAAUAGACUCUUCUUGCUGAUACAAUUAAAUAAAAGUCAAUUGUUGAA